GGUGUUUGUUAAAAUAUGUAUACCAUUUUACCUUAGAAAUUAGAGAGGGAAAGUGAUAGUGUAUCAAUGGCUAAGUUAAAGGACUACGUGAUGGGAGAGGAGGAAGCCAAUAAAAUGGAAGCCUCUGAACCCAAGGAGGACAUGCAGCAGCAACAACCAUAGCAGAAGUUGCAGCAGCAGAAACACCACCAUCAGUUACAGAGAAAAGUCCAAACAGCAGAAACCCAGAUCAUUAGAAUCAUAACAAAUAAAGCUUGAAGAAGGAGAUGAAUGACUUACC
rnacentral:lncRNA from 1 species